GACGUAGGGCGCGAGCGUUGUCCGGAUUUAUUGGGCGUAAAGAGCUCGUAGGCGGCUUGUCGCGUCGACCGUGAAAACUCGCAGCUCAACUGCGAGCCUGCGGUCGAUACGGGCAGGCUAGAGUUCGGUAGGGGAGACUGGAAUUCCUGGUGUAGCGGUGAAAUGCGCAGAUAUCAGGAGGAACACCGAUGGCGAAGGCAGGUCUCUGGGCCGAUACUGACGCUGAGGAGCGAAAGUGUGGGGAGCGAACAGG
rnacentral:rRNA from 1 species